UACGGGGGGGGCAAGCGUUGUUCGGAAUUACUGGGCGUAAAGGGCGCGUAGGCGGCCAGCACAAGUCAGUUGUGAAAUCUCCGAGCUUAACUCGGAACGGUCAACUGAUACUGUGCGGCUAGAGUGCAGAAGGGGCAACUGGAAUUCUUGGUGUAGCGGUGAAAUGCGUAGAUAUCAAGAGGAACACCUGCGGCGAAGGCGGGUUGCUGGGCUGACACUGACGCUGAGGCGCGAAAGCUAGGGGAGCGAACGGG
rnacentral:rRNA from 1 species